CAAGCAUAAAACUCAUAGAUUUGUUAUGCGUUGUAGUGACGUGGGUGUUUUCUAUUAUAAAACUUUAUGCUAGAUUUGCAAGACAUCACAAAAGCAAGAAAGAUACCGAAGCGUGCUUUGCCUAUUAUUUGCUUCAAAGAAGUCAGCCCCCCAUUGUCGGAUGCUUCAAACACUUCCAUUAUAGAUUCAGAUAAUUGAAGUGAUAUCGGGUUGAAAGCUAAGCGAUUGUGUAGAAAUGGUCAAGCGACCGUUGAAAAUUGAAGACUGAGAAGGCAUUUAGGAUUUUUAAUUAUUUAAUUCUUGUAUUAGAAUCUUUUUUCAU